rnacentral:piRNA from 1 species
UAUAAAACCGGUGUCCACGUGAAGGC